rnacentral:rRNA from 1 species
AACAUUCGCUUUGAUGAGAUGAUCAAAGCGUUUGGGUUUACACAGACUUAUGGAGAAGCCUGUGUUUACAAGAAAGUGAGUGGGAGCUCUGUAGCAUUUCUCAUAUUAUAUGUGGAUGACAUACUAUUGAUGGGAAAUGAUAUAGAAUUCUUGGAAAGUAUAAAGGCCUAUUUGAAUAAGUGUUUUUCAAUGAAGGACCUUGGAGAAGCUGCUUAUAUAUUAGGCAUCAAGAUCUAUAGAGAUAGAUCAAGACGCCUCAUAGGUCUUUCACAGAGUACGUACCUUGACAAGAUAUUGAAGAAGUUCAAUAUGGAUCAGUCCAAGAAGGGGUUCUUGCCUGUAUUGCAAGGUGUGCAAUUG